AGCACUUAAGUUAUAAAUAAAAAUUGUGGUAAAUUAUUAUACACAAAAGUCAUGAGGAUUAUUUCUUCGAUUAAGUAAUACAUUGCGGGUGUUAACGUGACUAGUUCACAUUAGCACCCGUUAAUUGAUGCGUGGAAAAAUGUAAUAAGGGCAUUUAGUGACAUCAGCAGUGUAUCAAUAAUUUUUUUAAACUUUUAUAACUCGUAGCAUCUAUUGCAAGUUUGGAACUCUGAUCAAAAUAUUGUAUGAGGAUGUAUAAGAAGAUGUAAACUAUUUUUUGUGACGUCAGCAAAGACCCUUAUAAAUUGAAUCUUUUUUAUGCGAGCACGCAAAAGCCAAUCCUUUUGAAAUCAGAUCAACAACACCGUCGUAUUUUUGUCAUUAUCUCUCAUAUCAAAAAGGCAGAAAUCCUUGACAACGAGGCUGGGACUCUAAAAGUUAUUAUUUUGGCAUAAUAGAGUCAAUUUCGAUCAAUGGAAUGAUGCUACUUACUGCUUUCAGUCCUGUAUGUUUAUUACACCUUUAGCUGAUUCUUACUGUAAAGAUUUACAUGGAAUGCUCAGCCAUACGGAAUGGAUACAUCAAACAGGGAAUAAACUUCCAAACCGCGGUAUGUAAUUAUGUUAAAGGGGAAGAAUUGCGCCCUAAUUUGAACAGGAAAGAAAAUAAUGCUUCUUAUAUGUUUUUACUCGUGUUUUUUGAAGAAAGAAUAUAUACGAAGGAGGUUAAACUGUCUCAAAAGAGGGAGAUUUUGGCGUGUAAUUAAUUUUAGGCGUGGUAUAAUGUUAAGGAAUCAAUAAAUUUGUUUAGUUUAGUAUGAUGAGAACAUAAUAAGUGAAGAAAAAGCUCCAAAAUACUCAUUUUGUCUUUUAGUCUUCGAUUUUUUAACGACAUUUUUAUUUCCUUUAAAAUCUGCUUCAUUAAAAUAGUUUUUGAUUAUUUUUUUUAAAUUUUUUUUUUUGGCGUAUUUUGACAAAAUUUGCUUUUUAAGCCCCUUUCUCCGGUUCUUUAUACCCCCUCCUCUCUUCCCCUAAAAAAAUGGUCUAAAUAGAUCGGAAUGUGGUCGUUUAACAAAUGUUCUUGUGGUUGCUUCUUUUUUUUCGCCUUUUUGCAACGAAAGAUUGUUUAUUUCUCCAAAGUUUAAAUUACAUGAAAUACAAAUCUAUUUUGUGAGCGUUUAAGAACCAAUGUUUGUUUCUCAAACCAAAAGUGAUUGCUACUAAAUGUUUAACAUUCCUUAAAUAUAAUGUAUCGAUACAGUUCUUAUUAAUUUCGAUUGUCUGUAACCAAUGGUAAACUUUCAACAAUAAUAUGAAUACUCAAUAGAUCAAACGAAAUGAUAUCUUGAACACUAUGUGUGAUGUAGGUGAGACUUUCUGAGUGACUUUGUGUGUUGCAUAUUAUCUAGUGAGAUAUACCGGAUGUUACAAGUUUGACGAAGCUAUCAAUUUUGAAAACAAAUUGCAUAUCCCACCAAAAUACACAAUCUAUGUGUAUACAUCUGUAAGAUACUGUUUUCAAGAGCUGUCGAACAUGCUGCCCAAAAUACUUGAUUUUGGUAUUACUAGCGGGAACUGUUGGUUCCAACCACGUUAUCGUGACUUUUUUCCUGUCAAUGUCACAGCAUUGAAGGCGUCAAGAGGGUGUAAAAACGAUAAUGGUGGCUUUCCCAUUAUUGGAUCGGAUUCAAUAAUGUUGUAUGAAAGUAGUGAUUUUGUUUGAAAAAGAGUUCUCGGUACAUGUACGAGCAAAUAUCAACAGUGAAUGGGACUGUUUCAUUCGUCGUGUAUUAUU